rnacentral:rRNA from 1 species
GGAUGCGAUCAUACCAGCACUAAAGCACCGGAUCCCAUCAGAACUCCGAAGUUAAGCGUGCUUGGGCGAGAGUAGUACUAGGAUGGGUGACCUCCAGGGAAGGCCUCGUGUUGCAUUCC